rnacentral:rRNA from 1 species
GACGAACGCUGGCGGCGUGCUUAACACAUGCAAGUCGAACGGUGAAGCUCCAGCUUGCUGGAGUGGAUCAGUGGCGAACGGGUGAGUAACACGUGAGCAACCUGCCCCUGACUCUGGAAUAAGCGCUGGAAACGGCGUCUAAUACUGGAUACGAGAAGGGUCCGCAUGGGCACUUUCUGGAAAGUUUUUCGGUUGGGGAUGGGCUCGCGGCCUAUCAGCUUGUUGGUGAGGUAAUGGCUCACCAAGGCGACGACGGGUAGCCAGCCUGAGAGGGCGACCGGCCACACUGGGACUGAGACACGGCCCAGACUCCUACGGGAGGCAGCAGUGGGGAAUAUUGCACAAUGGGCGAAAGCCUGAUGCAGCGACGCCGCGUGAGGGAUGACGGCCUUCGGGUUGUAAACCUCUUUCAGCAGGGAAGAAGCGAAAGUGACGGUACCUGCAGAAGAAGCACCGGCUAACUACGUG